UAAGCAUAUCAAUAAGCGGAGGAAAAGAAACCAACAGGGAUUGCCUUAGUAGCGGCGAGUGAAGCGGCAAAAGCUCAAAUUUGAAAUCUGGCACCUUCGGUGUCCGAGUUGUAAUUUGAAGAUUGUAACCUUGGGGUUGGCUCUUGUCUAUGUUUCUUGGAACAGGACGUCACAGAGGGUGAGAAUCCCGUGCGAUGAGAUGCCCAAUCCUAUGUAAGGUGCUUUCGAAGAGUCGAGUUGUUUGGGAAUGCAGCUCUAAGUGGGUGGUAAAUUCCAUCUAAAGCUAAAUAUUGGCGAGAGACCGAUAGCGAACAAGUACAGUGAUGGAAAGAUGAAAAGAACUUUGAAAAGAGAGUGAAAAAGUACGUGAAAUUGUUGAAAGGGAAGGGUUUGAGAUCAGACUCGAUAUUUUGUGAGCCUUGCCUUCGUGGCGGGGUGACCCGCAGCUUAUCGGGCCAGCAUCGGUUUGGGCGGUAGGAUAAUGGCGUAGGAAUGUGACUUUGCUUCGGUGAAGUGUUAUAGCCUGCGUUGAUGCUGCCUGCCUAGACCGAGGACUGCGAUUUUAUCAAGGAUGCUGGCAUAAUGAUCCCAAACCGCCCGUCUUGAAACACGGACCAAGGAGUCUAACGUCUAUGCGAGUGUUUGGGUGUUAAACCCGUACGCGUAAUGAAAGUGAACGUAGGUGAGGGCUCUUUUGAGUGCAUCAUCGACCGAUCCUGAUGUCUUCGGAUGGAUUUGAGUAAGAGCAUAGCUGUUGGGACCCGAAAGAUGGUGAACUAUACCUGAAUAGGGUGAAGCCAGAGGAAACUCUGGUGGAGGCUCGUAGCGGUUCUGACGUGCAAAUCGAUCGUCGAAUUUGGGUAUAGGGGGCGAAAGACUAAUCGAACCAUCUAGUAGCUGGUUCCUGCCGAAGU
rnacentral:rRNA from 1 species